GCUCAGUAUUUGCCAUGGAUUUGCUUUCGGAAUGGGAUUCAGAUAUUGUGGUCUUCAUCAAAGAAUGGCAGAUUCUUGGCAGGAACUUCUUCCAUUUGCGUCUGCAAGUGAAACAGUAUGGCCACGCAAACUGGUGCUGAACAGAAGAAAGCUUGCCGCUCUCUGUUACGGGGUCGCGCAGACUGGAGGGAUUCUGCAAGGCUGAACACUGGAGGAACUGGAACCAGGACCAUGUGGAGAAGCACAGUCUCAGAACACCAGAAUCCUAAGCCAUGACAGUUUUCAGUGGUGCUGCACUAUUGCAAGGGCUACUGCUGUCACUACAUACACUGGUUUUACUUUAACAUCAGACUUAUCUGCAAGACCACAAGCCCAAGUUAGUCGCACAAAGCAGGGGAAUGUAGAAUUAUUACAGUAAUAAGACUGCGACAGCAGCCUUGGCCUAAGAUUGGUGGGGGAGAGGAAGGCUUUAAAUGCACUCGUGCUGGAGAAGGCUCAGCCUGGCUCAUUAGGACCCAAUGUUAAGAUCACAACCAGCUCCUGAACUGGCUUUUAAAACUGGCUACUGUCAUCUGAAGAACUGUGCUGUCAGUGGAAGAUCAUGUAUCUCUUUUUCCUCAGCCAAGCUGAGAAUAGUAGCUCCCAGCUAAUUGUGACUCUGACCUCCAUGCCUGCCCUGACCUGCAAAGCCAGAAGUUAAUAAAC
rnacentral:lncRNA from 1 species